rnacentral:lncRNA from 1 species
AAGCAGUGGAAGAUGCUCAAACGGAGGAGAACUGAAGUAUAUCUCAUACAAGUUUUACUUCUUCACCCACAGUAGAGUUUCCUGUCUCACUUCACAUGGGUAUGCACACAAAUUAUACAUAUUAACCAACCAAUUAGUGCUCUUAAAAUGGGGUAUGUAUAUGUUCUGAUCUCAUCUAUUUGAUUCUUCAGCUGGCACAAUUUCUUUAGGCAAUCAUGUUUAAAUAUUUGACUAAUAGUGAACUUAGUAUACUCUGGAAUGCAUGCUGAUGCCACUCUCUUCUCAAUAUUUUGAGAUGCCUGACAGUUGCUUGUAUGAUCAAUGAAUCUUCACAACCGUUGAUGAAUCACGAAAAUAAUUACUAUCUUAUGAAAAAUUACAUUUUUAUUUUAUUUUUUGAAUUAAAAUAUUUUUCUAAUUCUUCUUAGUUGCAAAAAUAAUUAUGAUAUUAUAAGAAUAUGACUACUUUGUAGUCAAUAGUUUAUAAAAGAACUAAUAAGUUAAUAGAAAAGAAUAAAAUAUUUUGUAUUUGUAGUCUCCAAAAGAAAUGUUAUUCUAUGAUAAAAUGAUAAUUAUUGUUAUACUUCUUGUGUAACUGAAAGGCUCAUAAAUUCUACAGGUAUAUAAAUUUUUAAUAUUGUCUCUGAUAUUUUUCACUUUUAUUUGAUAACAAAGCUAAUAGAACUAUAACACUUUUAAUAUUAAAUGUUAAACAUUCCAUUUUUUCUGUUUGACUUCUUACCCACUUUAUGUGGUACUUAAUAUUUUUAUUAAAUUAUUUUUAAUAUUAAAAUAUUAGAGGAUAUAUUUGUAAAAAUAUUAAAUGCCAUAUCAGGUGAGUAAAAAAUACGUUUGACACAAAAAAUGGGUCAUGUAGCAUUACUCAUUAGGCAUAAAAACAUAGAUUCCACAUACAAAAUGUGACAAAGUCCAAUUCUAGAAAAUAAUAGGGAAAAAAGAAUUUAUUUUGAAAAAGAAAACGGAUAAUAAAAGUAUAGGAAUAAAUAAAUUCAAAAAUAAAACAUAGGUUCAAUGUAUAAAAUGUGACAGGUGCAAUUCUAGAGAAUAACAAGGAAAAAGAAUUUAAUUUGAAAAAGAAAAUGGAUAAUUCUUAGCUGCUGUAUAUCUAUAAUAUGAAGAUGGGUAUUACAGAUAGAAGCUAAUACAACCCCACAAGUUAAAUAUAAUUAUCAGAAAUGAGGUUGGAACAGUGAACAAGAAAAGAGCAACCAUUCCCAAAGCCAAGCUAGGCCUGGUGUUCAUCAAUACUGAUUGCAGAACCCCCGCUGCUUCACACACAUCUGAAUUAUAAUCUGGGUAAUAUUUCUUCUCCCAGUCCAUCCACUCAGAUGGGAUUUCAUUAUCUCCCUCUGCAGUCUUCAUCUCCUGAAUCCGUUUUCUAAGGACAACCAUGUUCUCGUCAAUCAACUUACCAUCAUAAUCACGCCUGUAUCUGUCUCUUCCGGAUGCUGCAUGAACCCUGAUGCAGAGUUUGUUAUGAUGCCUGUUAAAACCUGUACUUGGGUGCAAGUGCAGGAAUUUGACAGAAAGUUGAUGCGAUCCUAAGAGAGGUGACGGGUAGAGGAGAGUAGUUGCCUGCAUUGCUUUUGUAGUUCCACAGGAAUGUUUCUAAUAAGUCUGAAAAUAGGUAUGGCGCCGAGUGCCUAGAUCAUGUAUAUAAGAUUUCCGGACUAGAUAUAACCGCAUAGGAUUGUAGACAAUAAUGACAUUUGUUAGGUAUUGAGAGUGUAAAUUGACGAGGAAGCUCUCUCCAAAACAAAAUUUUGACGGCUACCAAUUCUCCUCUCCGUCGUACGAAAACAAAUAGAAAGUUCCUGAGGAAAAAAAGUCAUCAGGAAUUGAGUUUGGCCGAUUCUGUUAAUCAUUCGUGGUAGUACAAGUCAAUUAUGAUCGAGUGAAGGUGUCUGAAUUUGAUGAUGUUAUUAGUUUGAAUUGGUAAAAAGAAGGGCUCCCUCUAGAAGAAAUAAAUAGAUAACUAAAAUAACAAAAUCUGUUGAGAGGAACUGUUUAGGAUCAGGAAAUCGGAAACCAAGGAUUUUCAGAGUCUGUGAAAUAUAAAAGGCUGAAGUUGACGUCGGAAGACGAGAUUACAACAUAGUAGUACCAUACCAUUCUAUUAGCUACAUGAGGGAUCACUCAGCUGUUUUAUUUUCAGAUAUGCCAACCCUAUUUCCAUGAUCAAUCUAAAAUAUAAACCUUAAGAGGGAAAUUUACCCUUUAAAUAAACUCGUAGAUCAAUUCAAAUAUUUAUAAAUUUAUUUGAAAUUUGUUUCAUAAUUACAGCCUAUUUUUCUUAAUCUCUCUCUUUUCUUUUUUUUCUUUUUUUCUUAAUAGAAUCAAAAAAUACAUAAUAAAAUUCUCAUAUAAUAAUAAAGAUUGAUGCUUUUAUUCUUCAAUAUCAGUUUUGAUAAAGCUCUACUAAUUUUUUAGGUGUUUUUUCUUCAAAUAUAAGCUUUUAUUUAUUAGUUUAUUUUUCCCAAAGUAAGACUUAAAACUGUCUUAUUCUAUUUACUUUACGUCUUCCCCUAUUUUUGUCCAACAAAGGCUUAACCUCAUAAUUCUACACCUAAUCUGAUUUCAGUGAAGGAUUCAUUGCGUUCGUUAUGUCCCUCUAUUCCAUUGACUUACGGUGGAUUGGAAAAUACAUUGCAUUUGCUGCAUUUUGCAUUCAUGUCCCUCUAUUUCAUUGGGACUGCAAGGGAUGCUUUGCUUUUGCUUCAUGUCCCUCUUCUCUACCAUUCACAUGCCCAAUUUCAAUAUUAUAAAGACUUGGCCAUUUCUCUGAAGCUAAAUGCUCAAGUUGAAUAAACCUUCUGAUGACUACAUUUCGGUUAGAAUUUCCGGAUUUUGAAAAUCACAAUGCAAAUACUGGACAACUUUUGUCCGGUACUACCAUUUGUUUUGAUGUUGUCAAAUUCACUGAAUCCAUAUUUGAAUACUUGCCACCUGUCACAUCCGCACCGAAAAUUUUAAUUCUUACUUACAUCAAAUAUUAAUUACUUCUUACCUACAUUUCACAUAUACUUUUAAAUAAUUAAUAUAUAUUUAUUAAUUUUAAAUAAUUAAAAAUACACUAUUCCAUGCUAAAAUUCUUAUUCAUUAGUGUUAUUCUUGUUCUAUUUAUUGCGGUAUAUAUAAAUAAUAUAACUGACACCUCAAACAAACAAUUAAACAACUCCAUUCCACUUGCAUAACAAUGAUUUCAUCGUUAUCCAUUGGACUUGCCAAAGCACAAGGACAAGUGAAAACGACUGAAUUCGAUGAUGAUGAUGAUGAUGCCAGUUGAAUUGGUAUAACAAGACUCCCUCUAGAAGAAACAGAUAAAAUAAAACCACCUGUUGAAAGUGUCCGAGAGGAAUCAGAAACCAAAGAAAUCAAUGCCUGUCCUACUGUAAACGGCAUGGCACUUGAUUACUCCGUUCAAUUCAAAUUUACACAUGCCAGCUAACUUAUCUGCUUGUACAAUUGCCUUCUAAAUUAUCCAUUGCAAUGACCGAAUCCAACUUCAACCUUUAUGUUUCAUAGCCUUAUCCAAUAUUUAAUUAUCAGUGGAAGCUGCAUCAGUUUCAAAAUAUACAUAAAUGAACUUGGCUGUUGUCAAAGUUCUAAUAGAGCAGCAGCUCAGAAAUAGGCAUGGGAGUGAGACCAUCCUUUAUUGUAAAGACAUCUUCUUUAAUUAGUACCUGUAUGAGAUAAAUCAAUAAAUAGAGGUAAUCUUAUGACUAUAUCAGUAAUGCCUAAAUAAUUACAAACCUUCUAAGAUAAAUGGUCGGAUUUGGUCUAGACCGGGUGGUUCAUACUGCUGGGUCAACUCGUCUUGUUUCAAUGGAAAAGGAUUGAGUUGGAGUUGUUUGAUUUGGUCAGCGUCCAAAGGCUCGUGCUCUAGUUGUGGUUGAGUUUGUUGUUCAAGAGGUAGUGGCUCCAGCUGUUGAUACUUGGGCUUGUUUUUCUUAAGGAGAAGGUAAGUGGUGCAGUACCAAAACAGUAAAAUUCUACUUUGAGCUACCACUGUAUCGCUGAUAUGGCUUCCUCCGAAGGAGAGGCGCUCAAGUGCCUGCAAAAUAAAAAUUUCAGAGGAAAUUUUAUAUGUUAAUAAGUAAAUAAAGUACAUAAGUUUUGAAGAACCUAAACUUGCUAAACAUAUCCAUGUUAGCCACUUUGACAGUAUCUUAUCUUUACACGUUGCAAUCAUUCUCAAAAGUGUCCUGGAAAUUUAUUUAUAGCCCAGUUGAUCUGCAAAGCAUGUACAAGUUUUGGAGGCUCUGCAUGAUGUCUCUACUAGUUAACAUUUACAUGAUCUACCUCAAAUUUCAAAUUAGUCCCAAUGGGAUCAAAAGCUUAAAUUAGAAAAAAAAAUGAUAUUUUCUCUGACAAUUCUCUGUUUUUCUUCCCCAAAAGAGGAACUGCAGUUUUGCAUUAAUCUUACACGACUGGUCACAAUGUCAAUUUACCUGUUCACCAGUUUCAAUGUCAAAUGAAUUUUGAUGAUCAAACUUAAGCCCUCUGAAUUCAUUGAUGCAAAGCCCUUGAAAUGCCCUGAAAUCACAUGAAGCAGCAAAGGUGUUGCAGAACCAUUAAGGAAAGAAAAAUGAAACAAUGUUCAACUGCAUCAUCUGGUUAAAACAGACCUAAGAAUUUGUAAUAUAAACAGCAUUUGAUUUUACCAUCUUAUCAGAGAAACAUUAGGUAUCCAUCUGAAGAUGAUUGGUGUAUUAUCUGAAUUGACAUAAUACCCUCCAAAUACAAUAAAGACUGUCAUUAGAGAUGGCCCUAGUGCCAUUGCUGCUUCAGUGGUCGGAACCAUAGCUCCAACGGUUAGACCCAUUGCAGAUGCAGCAAAUGAUUCUGCAGUCACAAUUCCACAGAACUUGCCAAACCUAGAACACAAAUUAAAAGAUUCAGUCACUCCAGGAAUAUAUAGCAGCUUUCCUACCAAACUUUCAGUGCACUACAACAGCAAGGUGCAUGAGCAUGUCUCUUCAGUGCAGCACACACUUGAAGCUGAAGGCGUGCAUUUUGCACCUCCCGACACCACGUAUGCUCUCACAUUCUAUGCCAACAACUUCAGCAUAAAGAUAGUAGCCCACAAGUAAACUAAAUGUUUUGUUAGAUAAACCAAGGGGCUCCAAAAACACUACAUUUAGGAACAUAUUAUCAACCAUAAUUUCUAGAAGAUAAGCUCUGGGAAGUUAAAAUCUCCCCUUCUCCAGUCCACAAAUGACCCAAUCAAUUGCAUGAUUGGAAAAUUCAACCUUUUAUAUUUUUGAUACAGAUGCAUAUCAACAUAUUUAUCAACCACCAAAAGAGUGACCAUUGGACCUGGACAAAGUAGGAUGAAGACGUGCCAUUGGAUACAAUACAGCACCAAACAUUAAUGGAAAUGCUGCUCCAACAGGAAUCUCAGCUAUCAAUUUAGAGAGCAAAUAUGGUCCUAAUGCAUAAGAUCCCUUUGCCCGCUCUCUAUCUACAAUUGAACGCUCCUUAGGAAACACACCCACGGUUUUUGUGAGAGCAGCCAUAGCAGUGUUUAUUGCUGCGACCUGCAAGAUACCAAAUGUCCAUGAAAAAAGUUUUGGAAACUUUAAGUUGUGAUAUUUUUAUCAAAUUCAUAAAGUUGUAUGCUGCCAUCUAACAAUUUAAGAGGUCAACUAUCAUAAUGCUGUGAACACAUUGAAAUCAGAAACGGAAAAUGUGAUCAUAGAAGUCAGUGAAACAAAAUCGUAAAACCUGGCAACGAGCUUAUACUCAACCAUGUGACCAAGGUCCUUUGUUUCUAAUCAUUCCCUAUUGAAGCCAAUCUCCACUUGAAAGUAAAGAUUAUACAUUCAAACUACAACCUUGUGUUCCAUCUUCCGGCAAAUACAGAGAACAAGCCGAAAAGUAAACUAGUAGUUGACAAUUAAGUAGUCCAAAAUCUUACCUUUACUAUGAAUUUUAGCCUUAUAUAAGAAACACGCUAACGAAUUUUUUGAAAAAGGCUUGAUUUUAUUUAAGGCGUGUCUGGAAAUCCAUCUGCAAAGAGAGCUAGGAUUGAAGGGGAAUCAAUAAUAUAACAUACCUGCAGCAAUCCCAUCCUGUCUAGUAUUGAAGUCUGAGAUCUUCCCAUUCUCCAAAAAACUGAGCCAAAUAUUAUAGCUGAUGCAAUUGACAUUCUUGUCCGAACUUUAUUAGUUGGCCCAUCACGAGAAGCCUAAAAACUCAUUAAAAGAUGCUAAUUAGGUAAAUAUGGGAGAUGAAGACAUUUGAACAAUGCUAUCUAAAACAAACUAGGAGAGCCAAAAGACCAUCCUAUUUUGUGGUAUUCACCUCCAAGAAUGUAAUAAAUACUAUGAAUUUACUUGACAAAAUUCUGUGCAUAUGUAUCAAGAAUGCAAUUUUCAUUCUAGUCCCAAGGAGUGGAUUGCUAAUAUAGAAUUGGGUAAAGGAUAAAGAGGUUUGCUAAUCCAUACAGAUAAACAAAAGCAGACUAUGUAAUCCCUGUAGUUCAUUUCCGCAACAAGUACUUCACAUGAAAACAAAUUCAUAUUGAUCAAGUGAGAGUUAAAGAACCAACCUGCAUCCAUGCACGUUUAAGAAGCAACCAGAAUUGCUUCCACCACGACUGUUUCCUCUUUAUGCUUAACUUCAUGUCAUUCUUGGAGCUCCCCCUUCUGGUAAGGGGUGUUGCAUAAAGCACUGUCAAUAACUUCUGUGAGAAUGACUCAACAAGGCCAUCUAUCCUUUUCCGAGAGGAGUAUACACUUUCAGAAGAACUGUAAUCAAUGGAUAUGAGAUCAGCCAAAAAUUCUGCUGGAUUUACAUGAUCUGGGCAGCGGUAUCUGUAAAUUGGAACAGCAAUUAACCAUGAUUAGGAAAUUAACAGUUCCAAAAUCAGCUAUAUGUUCUUUUACAUUACUAAUAACUUCUUAUAUGCAAAAAUGAAACAUCUUUUCUAUUUUUCCAAGAGUAAAUAACCAUACGAUAUGGUGAAAAGCUCAAUGUUUGUCACGUGUAGAUGGAAAAUGUGACCCAAGAAGAAAAGAAGUGCUAGAACUCAAAGGACAAGAAGUUAAUCUAAGCAGGAAAGCAAAAACUUUCAGAAAUGCUAUCAAAUUGAUAUCUUAUCAAAUAGAAACCUUGAGAGCAGUCAAAGCUAUUUUAAGUUCCACUCACCUAUGUGUGACGAAAUAUAAUUUUCUAUUUCUAUUACCAAAUUUAUUUACAAGUAGAAUAGCACAGUGAUGCAUCAUAGACAGGGAAGGGAACAUUGUCACCCAUGACACAAUAAUGCUCGUCAACAUCAUUCUCAUAUUAAUAUAUCUUAGAUAAUCUAAUGACAUUAAAGGUCAUAUGCAAAUGGGAAAAAUUAGUUCCACCAGCAGCACUCACAUUCCAGUAAGUAGGUGGACUUCAUGGGCCUGAUUCAGUUUUGUGCAAUUCUGAGAGCUUAGCUAAUAAUUUCCUUUGUUUAGAGAGUAAAAGAAUGCAAGAAUUUAAUUCAAUUGGAUUCUAUUAGCCAAUUCAAUUGAAUCAUAUCAAAAGUGUUAUGUUUAGCAAGUGCACAUGAUUUAUUCAAAACAAGCCUUCUAGAGAUUGUUUAAUACGUAUACUGAAACUUCGCAUCUCACCCUAAUAUCAUAAAUUGGAUAGAAUCCUGCGUUAUACAAACAAUCAUCAAUAGGAAGUAGCAUGGAGACAAUUAACAUAAGAGAAAAACAGGUCUAACCCCAAUUCUGAGAAGUAUGCCAGUGGUUCUUCAUGUGCUGGACCAGUAUAAACAAGUUCACCCUCUGUUAGCAAAACAAUGUCGUCAAAUUUACUGUACACUGAACCUCUAGGCUGGUGAAUGGAGCAAAUUACAGUAUGUCCAUCCUGGGAGAGUUGUCGUAGAGUUUCCAUUACUCUCUCUGCCUGGAAAGCAUCAAGCCCUGAAAAAUAUUAAUUCCCCAGUCAACUGUAUUAAUCACCGGAUUGACAGCUUGAACUUUUGGAACUAGCAAAUGGAGUCAAUGGAGAACUCUAGCUUAAAGCAGCAUAACUAAGCCCACUUUCUGAGCAGGUCGAAAAGACUGUUCAUUUUAACUCCGUAAUGUUCUAAAUGAACCAUGGGAUCCAUGAAAUUUCAUUUUCUAUAACAAGCAUUUGCUUGCAGCUAGUAACUAAUAAGCAUCAUUUGGAGAAAUACGAUCUACACAUACUUACAAGAAAAAAUGGUGAUUUUAUCAUGUCUGCAACAUAUCUGUUGUGUUUGAAAAUUACAUAUGCAAAUCACAGAGGGGAACACAGGUGAUGAAAAGAAUGACAAUGAUUACAAAAUUCUAAAACUCAUUAACAACAUCUAGAGAAAAUGCAACUGGAGAAAAUAAAAUCAUCAAGUAAUAUCACGUGAGAGAAUCAGAAGUAGCGUGUGUACCUGUAGUGGGUUCAUCAGCAAAUAUGACAGAUGGACUAGCAAUAAGUUCACAAGCUAAUGAUAAACGUUUCUUUUCACCACCACUUAUCCCACGAACUUUUGCAUCACCAACGUUUGAGUCAGCACAACUGACCUAAUAAUUCCCAAAGCUUCAUUGAACCCUUUUUCACAUAAAAUUCGCAUCAAAAAAUUUCAAAUAGAAAUUUCACACUUACCAAACCUAACUUGAACAACAGAUUAUUAACAUAUUCAUCUCUCUCUUCGACAGAAGAUAUUUCAGGAAGUUGAAGUUGAGCGGCAAGAGAAAGUGUCUCUCUCACUGUCAACUGCGAGAAAAAAAGAUCUUCCUGUCUCACAUAAGCAAACCUACAAAAAAUAACAAUAACAAUAAUUAAAGACAAAAUGUUUAAUUUAAUGCAAAUUAACAAAAAGUAAAGCAAUAUUACUUGUAAGCUUGAUUCGAACAAGGUCUCCCAUUGACUUCCAAAAGACCUGACAAAUGCAACCUUGUUGAUGCCAUUAAUUGGCCAGCUAAUACGUUAAGCAACGUCGUUUUGCCUGACCCUGAUGGUCCCAUUAUUGCUACCAAUCUUCCUGGUUUCGCUUCUCCAUUCACAUUUUUUAACAGAAACCGAACCUACACACUCAUUUUAUAAAAUUAAAAAUUGCUGUUCAAUUCAAAUAUUAACUUAUAAAAUUUAUCUACUCACAUGUUUAUUUGAUUUAUCAGAAAGAGAACACGUGAUGUUACUCCAACGGAUUGUAACCGGAACAACUUUGUCAGUGAUCGGAGCUUCUUCGCCGGAGAAGUCGUUAUCAUUCUUCUUCUCAUCAUCGUCUUCAGGCAAAAGAGCAGGGCCAGGUCCAGAAAACAGUCGGAGCAGAAGAGCCACCGCGGCCGCCGCCACAACCUGACCGAAACCGUUACCUCCAAAUUUAACAACCUGACCGACCACUUUCCCGCCUAAAUGCGCCAUCUUUGUUUCCCGCUUUUAUCUUCAACAACCUUCUCCUCCUCCUGUGACCUACUGAAACUAAGCUAUGUGUUUUUAAAAGAUAAUGUUGUCACUGUACUUUAUUACUAAUUUAUAUCUUUUAGCGGAAGCGAGAUGCUGUUGCUAAAAUUCGGUUGCUGUCGCCGAAAGUAUUUUUUUUAUGGGAUCAAACGGUGUCGCUUCUGCUUUAUUUUACAGUGGAUUGGGGAAAAGCCGACACGUGUGGUGCGUUGAGGAUAAGACGGAAUUUAUCCGGCUAAUAUCGACAGCCUACAGGUGGAAAACUGUGGCUUUUCGUUUUUAGCCAUAGUAGUACAGAUAAACAAAAUAACAAUUUACUACCCAGUAAAUUCUUUUAUUUCAUUUUAACCCUAUAUGUUUCUAAAACUGUUGAAUUAAACCUUAAUCAAGUUCAAAAUUUGUAAAUACACUGCCACUGCUCCAAAUCUAUGUAUAUGUUAAAUUUUAACAUAUAAAUUUUUUUAAAUACAAGUCUCUAUAUGUAGACCACAUAAUUUCUAUCUAAAUAUAUAUUAUUUUAAUAUAAAAUUUAAAUUUUAUGUAAUUUUAUUCUUUUAUUAGUUUAAUGAUUGAUUAGUUAUAUUUCUAAUAAAAUAAUUUUUUAUUGUUUUUAAUAUUAUAUUAACUCAUUUAUUAGUUUUUUUAUUAGACAAUAAUUUUAGUCUAAGAGAUAAUAUUUUUAAUAUUAUAAUUAAAUAAUAAGAUAGUAUCCUAAUUAUCCAAUAAUUUCUUAUAAUAUUAUUAAUUAUAUUUAUAAUAUUAAUUUAUAUAAUAUUUAAAAUUAAUUAAUAAAUAUUCUUAAAUGAUUUUAUAUUAUACUAAUACUUUUAUGAAAUUAAUAAAAUUUUAAGUUAUUAAAAGAUUAAAAAUUAUCUAGAAAUAUUUAAUUUUAAAAUUUUUAAAAUAUUAUAAAUAAUCUAAAAAUAAUAACAAACUUACGAUCAUAGGCCCAUGCUAAAGUUUCAAUCAAUUCCUGCCAAUAUCCAUGCCAAGAAAUUAAAAACAUAAAUCCAGUAGCCCAAACAAGAUGUUAAAAGUAUUUAUAAAUUUAAUUUAUAUUAUCAUUUAUGAUUAAAAUAAUUAUAAAAAUCGUACAACUUACGAAUAAAUAACUAGUGUUAUUAAAAUGUAUAGAUACUGUAGAUAAAAUAAACAACUCUUAACAACUUGAAAUAUUAAUAAUGUAUGUUAACUUUCUAAUAAAGACGCAUAAAAAUAAUAAUUUUAAGACAUCAAUUACAACAAUUAAUGAAAUCUUUAGAAUAAGCAAUGUCACCAUUUAAUAGUUGAUGAUAAGAUCAACUAAAUAAAAUUGUAAUAUAUUUUUAAAGGAUUCAAUAUCUUUUAUAUUUCUAAGUUUUAUUAAAUUAUACUAUUAAAUUUCUCUAAUUUUAUGACUAGUUUUAACAUUUUUUUCAUUUUAUUAUGUUAAAUUAUAACACCCUUCAAUUAAAAAUAAAUUUUAAAUGAAAUUAAAAUAUCAAUUUAUCUUUACUGACAUUACUAUAUUAUUAUCAUUUGUAAUAAUUAACUACAGGCUUUGUAUAUAUAAUAUUUUUAUAAUUUAUUUAUAUUCAAAGAUUAUAAUUAAAUUAUAUUUUUUUUACUUAGUUUAGUAUUAAUUAAGUUGAUUAAUUAUAAAAAUAAUAUUUUAUAAAGCUUCUCUAAUAUAACUUUAUAUAAGAUAUUUUCUCUAGUUAAAGUAUUUUAAUAUAAAUUUUGGUUUAAUAAUUUAUAACUUUAACUUUUAAAUAUAAAAGUAUUAAUUUAAUAAAAUUUAACUUCUUAUUUAAAAGUGUUAAAAUUAUAUGUUAGACUAAUUAUCUUAAUAUUUUUUCAAAAAGGAUGUUAAAAUUACUUAUUAAAAACAUAUGGUCCUAUUAAUACAAUUUAAUAAGAUUUAGAGAUAGAGUUGGUAUUUUAAAUAAAAAUAACAGUGGACUAAUAAAAAAAUUUAACAAAACAAUAUAACAAUUAAUUUCAUUAAAUAAAAAGAUGUUAAAAUUAAUUAUUAAAAGCAGAGAGAUUACUAAUGUGAUAUGAUAAAACUCAUAAGCAUUAAAAAGUUAAAUUUUAUAAUAUAUUAUAUAAAUUUUAGUGGGGGUAAUUACUAUUUACUUAUUGUAUUUGUCCAUAUUAUACUGAUUAUUCCUUUGACAUUUAAAAUAUAUAUAUUUUUAUCUUUUUAUUUUGUUAUUUUAUACCAAAAACUCCUUCCGUCAGAAUUUCCGUUAAACAACCAUUAACUAAGUUUAAUUUUAUACUAUUUGCUCAUUGAUCUAGUUUAGUAUACAAAUUGCCUCUUAUAAUUUAUUUAUUAUACUAAAAUCCUUUUGUCUAAUUUUUAUGCAAAAAUCAAUUUUAAUGUUUAUACAAAAAUAAUUAAUUAGUGUUCUUUAAUUACUCUAGUAUUUAGCAUUUAAUCAAAUUAUAGUAAAUUUUAAAUAUCUUAAGAGUAUUUAUAUUAAUUAAAAUAUUAAAAUUUCAUAUAAUUUAAUUUUAUAUUAUUAAAAUAAAAUAGAUAGUAUUAUUAUUAUUAGAUUUGUAAUUUUGAUAAGAAGUUUGAAGAUCAAAUUAUAUUACUUUUAUUAAUUUAGGUCCUUAUUUAUAUUGCCUUUUAAAACGCAAAGAGAUUUUAAUAUAAUAAAUAAAAUAUAAGGGGCAAUUUAUAUACUAUAUAAAAAAAAAAUCAAAAGACAGAUAAUAUACCGUCAAACUAGGGGCUAUGAUGCAUCCUAGGAGGGAAUGAUGUUUGCGCGCUCGUUAAAAGAGCUACUCCUUACUCAAGUUUCCAAUGAAGCCUAAGGGUUCCUCCGCAAGGUUCGUCCACGGAGGGUGAGUCAGGGCCCCGCACAAUGAGCUCUUUUUGUUCGUCGAGGUCUUCCAGCAUUUUGAAGAGGAGCAGUGAUUUGUUACAUCGAUCAUUUCUUUUGGUUUCUAUUAUUUAGUAUGAAAUUAUAAAAUGAAAAAAUAAAAUUUAAAAUAUAAAAAGUAACUAUUAUUAAUAUAAAAAUAUUAUUUUAGUAUCUAAUAUUUCAUAUUUAACUCAUUUUAGUCUUUCAAUAUGAAUUAGUUUUAUAUUUAUAUAAUUUAAUUUCUAUAGAAAUUUGAAUAAUAAUAAUAAUAAUAAUAAUAAUAAUCAAUUUAUUUGAGAAAUUUAGAAUUUUUAAUCUCCAUGUAAAAUUAGAAGGAACUAUAAUUCGAUUGGACAGAGAAGUAAAAUUGUGCAUAAUAAACAAUUGAAUAAAACUAAAGAAAUAAUAUUCAAAAAACUAAAGAAAUAGGCCGACCAAAAAUUCGAAAUCCCUAACAGCAAAAACUAUAAAACCUGCAAACCCCGAUUUCUUUCCCAUCACAAUUCUCCAACUAUGGAUUCAUACCUUUCACCACCACCGCAAUUACAAGAAGACUCAUAUCGGAAUUGGGCGGAGCUACCACGAGACGUGACGGCGUUGAUUCUUGAUAAAGUGGGUGCAUUCGAUAUCUUGGGUUCUGCUCAGUUUGUAUGCUCUUCGUGGAAUAGUGUAUGCAAGGAUCCAUCAAUGUGGAGAUCAGUUGAAAUCCAUCCUCUGUGUGAUUUCUGGGACUUGCCUUUUGAUCUUGAAGCAUUGUGUAGGAAUGCAGUUGAUAGGAGUCGUGGUGGCCUGAUUUCUAUCAGUAUUGAGUACUUUGCUACUGAUUCUCUCAUCAAAUACAUUGCUGAUAGGUAAUCUUCAUAAUAAUUAAUUCCUUUCUGGGUUUUAAUUAUUUUUCAAUUUAUGAUGUGGAUCCUUUUUUUUUUGUGAUUGUUUUUUUAGUAAUUUGAUUUCUUUUUUUAUUUCUUCACAAAAUUGAAUGCGGGUUUAAUUUUAGUUAUUUAUUAAAGUUGAUGAGGUUUUGUUUGUUGGUUUGAAAGCUGUGGUUAUUGCUUGUUAUCUUGUCUCUCUAGUAAUGUUUAAUUAAAUUUAGAUACAAAAGCAACAAAAAUCAUCCUUGACUGUUGAAAACUUCUAUUUUCUUGCUAGAAUAAGUAUAUGAAAACAAUUUGGUAGAAUGAGAUUGGAAAUGACAUUGCUAUCUAAUUGAAACAAAAUGCAGUCUUGUUUUAGGAUAAGUUUACGAUUUGACAUUGUCUAUUCGGAAUAGGAUUCCUAUGACUUAUCAUCUUGUGUUUUGAUAUACUUGUUCAUAAUCAGGAUGCCAAGGUAAUGAGUUUGUUCGUUUUACUGAAUGACUUGGCUAGGUAGCUGAGGUUUCUACAUAAUGUCCAAUAACCAACUAGGAUAGUCAGGCAAUCUUUAAGGCAAAUUCUUCUUUUUCCUUCGCAUGUUCUUUUACCUGCAAGAAGGGGGAAAACGGAAAGGACGCCAAAAAAAAGAAGAGAGAAAGUGUGCAUACUUGGUGACGGAGGAUUUAUAUAAUUAGAAGACAUUUUCCUUUCUUGCUUUUGCUUAUUUACUAUGAUUUCUCACUGAGUUGCAUCCAUAAGCUAUAUCAAUACAUUGCAUCAACAUAUGUUGAAAAUUACAUAAUGUAUUAGAAGUCUUGAUUUUCAUCUUCUGGUUUUACCUGUGCGUCGAAACUAACUAAAAUUUAAGAAAAUGCACUAAUUUUUUUAUAGAACUUUAUCAAUUUGUGGCUGGAUCCUUUCGCGCUUUAAUUUUCCAUGUGUCAAUAGAGAUGAUAAACAACUAGACGAUAUAACAUUCCAUUAUCUGGCUACAAAAUUAUACAGCAUUGUGAUAUGGUUAGUAUUUUGCUCAGCACCAGCAUUUCUGCAUCGGGAUGUACAUAGAGACAAGCACAUAAUAUUGAGUAAAAAUUGCCAAAAGAUUCAUCUUACAGCAUUGUGCACGAGAAAAUUUGGUUGGUAGAAGUUUGAAAUUGUUUAAGCAUUAUUUCAUUUGUUCACCAUUGCAAGAACAUAUAGCAAUAAAUGAUCUAACUCGAUGACUUAAAUUCAUGUUUGGAUUAUUUACUUGUCAUUGAAACAAAACUGAACCUGGUCAUAACAUGUGAUACUGUUGAUUCGCUGAUUUAGGCAUCUGAUAUUUGGAAUUAUCCAUCUCCUGUUUAUUGGAUGUUGUUUCUAAUUUUUAGUCUUUUGGUCCUUGAAAUGAUUGUAUUCAGUUGCAUGUUUUGCUAAUGUGAGAUGUUUCUGAUGAUAUGGAAAAAGAAAAAAAAAGAAAGAAAAAAGGUGCAAGUGUGGAAGCAUGUACUUUUUAUAUCAAGAUCUCCAUGUGUAAAUUUUCCAAAUUUUUGCUGGAAGGGUUUCAUGCCAUUGUUUAUCUAAGAAAGUAAGUAACUUGUGUUUGAUGAAGAGGCAAUCUUCCAUAGCUUUCAGCUUACAUGUGAAACAAUGAUAUAAAAGUUGCAGAAAAUUAAAGUUCAACUGAAAAUUACAACAUGUCUAUCCUUUACAAAUGUGUGCCGUGAUAAAAUUCAGAAUCACAGGGUAUUCUUUUUGUCAUUAAUAUUUCUAACAUAUACCUUUUUCAGAAUUUCCUGUUAUAAACAUGUUAUGUUCAGUUUCACUGGGUAAGUUGGUUAUUUAUUAGUGUGAAUUUGCUGAUUUCUGAUGUUUUGGUUGUUGAUGGCCACCGUGCAGGUCAAGUCAUCUCAAGCGACUUCGGCUAUUAUCUUCCUAUACCCUUUCUGAUGCGGCAUUUAGUAAAGCUGCCAAAAAAUUUCCAUUACUAGAGGAGCUUGAUAUUUCAUACUGCUCAUUGUCAACGGAAGCUCUUGUAGGUGUUGGAAUUUCCUGUCCUCUUCUGAGAUCAUUGAAGUUGAAUUGCCAGGGGUACAAACGCCCACAUAUAGAGAGUAAUGAGGAGGCACUGGCGAUUGGCCAAUGGAUGCCUCAUUUGCGAUACCUCCAGAUUUUUGGAAAUAAGCUGACAAAUGAUGGUGUGCAGGCCAUUCUUGAUGGUUGUCCACAUCUUGAAUUCCUCGACCUUCGCCAAUGUUUCAAUGUCCAUUUGGAAGGGGAGUUGGGGAUGCUAUGUGGUGAAAGGAUUAAAGAUUUGCGGCGGCCUGAUGAUCCUACCGAUGACUAUCCAUUUAACCCGGAAAUUCCUGACUAUGGGUCAUCUGAGGAAGACUACCCUUCCGGAUUUUCGGAUAUGGAGUUCGCCACUGAUGAUGAUGAUGACUACUAUGCAUUCUCAGACGGCAUCGAGGAUAUCUGACUUUGGUGGGUUGUACUUUGACUAGUGCCUUCCUGAUUGAAGUUGAGAAGCAUCCAUCCAGGUGAGGAAAUCAUGCUGUGCCAGUGAAGAUACUGCUAACCUAACCUUUUGGUGUUUGUAGUAAUAAUACUAAUACCUGCAAAGUCGACUGUUAUGCCUUUCCAUUUGAAAGUUCCACUUUUACAUUGCAUCCAUACUCUAGAUUUAUCCAAGCACUAAUAGGAUGAUGGCGGUGGUAAUAAUAAUGGCCGAUUAAAAUUUGAGUUUUUGUAGGGUGGAGAUGUGUUUACAUGUGAAGGGUGGCAGGCCCAUUGUUUGUCUUCUAUUUGCUACUGAUUUAUAGCAUGGUUUCUCCCCCUUGCUUAAGGUUAAUGUAUAUUUGGAUAAACUGUAUUUGGUUUGCCUUGUAACUAUCAUAAAAGAGACUUGCUUUUCCUCCAAUAUCAAUUCCUUCUUUAAGUGUAAAACAUUAUGAAAAAUUAGCCGGUUGUUUCAGACUGAAAAAGAAGCUGACUUGACUGUCUCAUUUACCAGUUGACAAUUGAUCAUA